CUACGGGAGGCAGCAGUGAGGAAUAUUGCACAAUGGGGGGAACCCUGAUGCAGCAACGUCGCGUGGAGGACGACGCAUUUCGGUGUGUAAACUCCUUUUAUAUGUCAAGAAAAUGACGGUAGCAUAUGAAUAAGCACCGGCUAACUCCGUGCCAGCAGCCGCGGUAAUACGGAGGGUGCAAGCGUUACUCGGAAUCACUGGGCGUAAAGGACGCGUAGGCGGGCUUGUAAGUCAGGUGUGAAAUCCUACAGCUUAACUGUAGAACUGCACUUGAAACUACGAGCCUAGAGUAUGGGAGGGGCAGAUGGAAUUAGUGGUGUAGGGGUAAAAUCCGUAGAUAUCACUAGGAAUACCUAAAGCGAAGGCGAUCUGCUGGAACAUAACUGACGCUAAGGCGUGAAAGCGUGGGGAGCAAACAGGAUUAGAUACCCCCGUAGUC
rnacentral:rRNA from 1 species